rnacentral:rRNA from 1 species
GACCCGUCUUGAAACACGGACCAAGGAGUCUAACAUAUGCGCGAGCUAAUGGGUGGAAAACCCAAAAGCGCAAUAAAAGUAAAAGCUGUUUCGGACAGCCGAGGUACGAUCCUAUGUUCCUAUGUGUUCAUGGGCGCAGUACCGUCCCGUCCCGACCGCAUGUCGGUAGGGCGGAGAUAGAGUGCAUACGUUGGGACCCGAAAGAUGGUGAACUAUGCCUGAGCAGAGCGAAGCCAGAGGAAACUCUGGUGGAGGUUCGUAGCGGUUCUGACGUGCAAAUCGAUCGUCAGACUUGGGUAUAGGGGCGAAAGACUAAUCGAACCAUCUAGUAGCUGGUUCCUUCCGA